CGCGCAGGCGGUUGUUUAAGUCGAAUGUGAAAGCCCCCGGCUCAACUGGGGAGGGUCAUUCGAUACUGAUCGACUUGAAGGCAGGAGAGGGAAGUGGAAUUCCGGGUGUAGUGGUGAAAUGCGUAGAUAUCCGGAGGAACACCAGUGGCGAAGGCGACUUCCUGGCCUGUUCUUGACGCUGAGGCGCGAAAGCUGGGGGAGCAAACG
rnacentral:rRNA from 1 species